rnacentral:pre_miRNA from 1 species
UUUACGGCUUCAAUUCAUUGUUGUCGUAUUUAGUCACUUUAAAACAAUGAAUUGGAGCCGUAAGUU